rnacentral:rRNA from 1 species
AUUGAACGCUGGCGGCAUGCCUUACACAUGCAAGUCGAACGGUAGGGGGAGCAAUCCCCUGAGAGUGGCGAACGGGUGAGUAAAGCAUCGGAACGUGCCCAGUUGUGGGGGAUAACUACUCGAAAGAGUGGCUAAUACCGCAUACGACCUGAGGGUGAAAGCGGGGGACCGAAAGGCCUCGCGCAGUUGGAGCGGCCGAUGUCAGAUUAGCUAGUUGGGGGGGUAAAGGCCCACCAAGGCGACGAUCUGUAGCUGGUCUGAGAGGACGACCAGCCACACUGGGACUGAGACACGGCCCAGACUCCUACGGGAGGCAGCAGUGGGGAAUUUUGGACAAUGGGCGCAAGCCUGAUCCAGCCAUGCCGCGUGCAGGAAGAAGGCCUUCGGGUUGUAAACUGCUUUUGUCAGGGAAGAAAUCCCUUGGGUUAAUACCUCGGGGGGAUGACGGUACCUGAAGAAUAAGCACCGGCUAACUACGUGCCAGCAGCCGCAGUAACAC